rnacentral:rRNA from 1 species
UACGUAGGGUGCAAGCGUUGUCCGGAAUUAUUGGGCGUAAAGAGCUCGUAGGCUGCUUGUCGCGUCGGCUGUGAAAACCUGGGGCUCAACCCCGGGCCUGCAGCCGAUACGGGCAAGCUAGAGUUCGGUAGGGGAGACUGGAAUUCCUGGUGUAGCGGUGAAAUGCGCAGAUAUCAGGAGGAACACCGGUGGCGAAGGCGGGUCUCUGGGCCGAUACUGACGCUGAGGAGCGAAAGCGUGGGUAGCAAACAGG